GUGGUGCUUGGUGCAGGAAAACAUUAUCACCACCAAACGCCUGCUUAAAACCUGUGAGCCUUCGCCUUAAUUGGCAAGACGGCCGUAUCAGCGUCAUGCGUCGUUAUGUCCUUUUUUUCAGCUAAUUUUGUUAGUCAAAAUAAAAGGACUAUUGUACCAAAAACAAGACUCCUAUCCUGCACGGACGGUCAGUUGGUUAGAGUAAGCAGCACUGCAGACAGUAAACUAGCAUCAUCCGUCACUAACCUAGGAAGCUAUGCUUCUUUCAAAAGGCACCAAAACAACCAUGGAGCUAGGACCUGGGAAGAUUCGCACUUGAGUCCGGCCCGAGCUCCACGUGUCAGCAUGGGUCCUGUUAGUGAAUUAGGCCGAAAAUACGAUCCGUCUUACCCUGGAUUUGAAAGAAAUCUCAACCCAGCAGCCUACAGACAGCCCAGUUUCCAGAAGCCUUUUGGCAGACAUGGAUUCUAUGAACGACGCAGUCGCGGGCUAUUCUCUUCCAGAACCGUCCCAUAACCUUGGACAAAAAAACUUCAAAACUUACAUUGCCAGCACUCUUACAGUUAGCCCGUCGCACAUAUAGCAUUCACAGUUCUACCUAUCCGCAUCUCUAGUACACCCUUCUCGGACAAAACUUUACGGGAAUGUCCAAAACAACGGAGGGGACGCUAAAAGUGCCGUGGCAGCAUAUGCACAUUAAGUCAAAGCAGCAGCCUUCAUUGAGGACAAUAACUCGAGGAGAUGAUACACACACUAAAGACGUGAGCUUGGAGAACGCUACAAACACAUGAAUGUCUGCGAAAGCUGGAGGAGAAAGCGAUGCCUACACCAAUAACCAAAUCCUGGAAUUUGUCUUAUUGUACCUGACUCGAGAGCGCCACCUGGAGAUCAAAAUCUGAUUUCAAAACCGCAGGACGAAACUAAAUAAAAUUACAAACGUGGGCGGAAAGACACGAGUGCUCAAAAGAUGUUUUAAUCGUGCAAAACAUGUACGCUUGUUGCCGAUAAUACUUUCCUCUGACUGAAUAUUGAGAACAGUUGUUUAAUUGCGUUGAAUACAGCGGAUAAGACAAUUCAAGAUAUUUCUCAUGAAGAGCAGUGUCUUGGCAUAGCUAAAAUAAUAAAUUGCAUGGUGUUUUUACUGUUGGCAUAUCAAUGUUUUUCAUGGACUUGAUUAUUAAUUCUAUAUACGUGUUCAUAUAAGUAAGGUCCAAUAAGUUGUAAAACAGGUUGUAAAGUAUUUAACCAGAAGCAAUUAAACAUCAAACACAA